rnacentral:rRNA from 1 species
UUUCCGUAGGUGACCUGCGAGGAUCAUUGUCGAACCU